rnacentral:rRNA from 1 species
CAGCCGCCGCGGUAAUACAGAGGGUGCAAGCGUUAAUCGGAAUUACUGGGCGUAAAGCGCGCGUAGGUGGUUCGCCAAGUUGGAUGUGAAAUCCCCGGGCUCAACCUGGGAACUGCAUCCAAAACUGGCGAGCUAGAGUAUGGUAGAGGGUGGUGGAAUUUCCUGUGUAGCGGUGAAAUGCGUAGAUAUAAGAAGGAACAUCAGUGGCGAAGGCGACCACCUGAACUGAUACUGACACUGAGGUGCGAAAGCGUGGGGAGCAAACAGGAUUAGAUACCCGUGUAGUCCCUGUCUCUUAUAU